GCGAACGCUGGCGGCAGGCUUAACACAUGCAAGUCGAACGCUCCUAGCAAUAGGGGAGUGGCAGACGGGUGAGUAACGCGUGGGAACAUACCCUUUGGUUCGGAAUAACUCGGCGAAAGCCGUGCUAAUACCGGAUAAGCCCCUCACGGGGGAAAGAUUUAUCGCCGAAGGAUUGGCCCGCGUCCGAUUAGCUAGUUGGUGAGGUAAUGGCUCACCAAGGCGACGAUCGGUAGCUGGUCUGAGAGGAUGAUCAGCCACACUGGGACUGAGACACGGCCCAGACUCCUACGGGAGGCAGCAGUGGGGAAUAUUGGACAAUGGGCGCAAGCCUGAUCCAGCCAUGCCGCGUGAGUGAUGAAGGCCUUAGGGUUGUAAAGCUCUUUCGACGGGGACGAUAAUGACGGUACCCGUAGAAGAAGCCCCGGCUAACUUCGU
rnacentral:rRNA from 1 species